CCUGGCUUCAAGUCCUGCCUCUGCCACAAAAUGGCUGUGUGACCCUGGGUAUGUUUUAUGACCUCUCGGUGGCCCCAGGCAACUCUCUUAAGUUGCAGAGAAGGUGCUGACCUGCAUUGGCAGUCCUAUUUGGAAGAGCCUCAAGCUGAGGACCCAACUUCACUAUCCAGCCCUUUCCUUCCCCUCCUCACUGGCUCCACCCUCCACCUGCAGCUACAGGCAAUCUUUGGUUUAGGUAUUCACCUUGCCCAAGCAAUCUUCAAAGUAUAAAAACUGAGAGGGGAGUAGUAGUGGAGAACAAAAUAAGACUCAUUUAUUUUUUUCAAUGAAAAGGAAUAAAGAUUUUUUUGGAAAUGUUGGUUCA
ensembl:lncRNA